UAUUAAUUUGCGGGAAGAUGUGGAUGUUGACAAUGUGCAAAAUAGUUUUCAGGAAUCAUUCAGAGAUAAUUUGAGCCAGUUUUGUAGGAGGAGUCAGAUGGUACUAGCGGUGAUCACGAUGAGGCAGAUAUGGAUAAUGAGGAUGCUCAAAGGCAACAACAGAUGUUGGAGACACAUUGGAAGAUCAAAGCUAUGACAUUUCAAUCGCAAGGGGAUGCAUACAUAUUCUACAACAAUCAGGCCAAAGAGCGUGGGUUUAGCAUCAGAAAAUAGAAGGUGAAACGAGUGAAAGAUGGUUCAGGAAUUAUACGGUACCGAUAGUUUCUUUGCUCAAGUGCGGGAAGAAGGCAUAGCAAAUUCAUAACCAUGGAGGGCCGCAAGCGCAGGCUUAGACCUGAGACUCGUUGCGAAUGUGGUGCGCACAUGGUGGUCAAGCUGAACAAAGAAUGUGGAGUUUGAUUCGUCGCGUCAUUCGUGGAUGAUCACAACCACGCGAUGGCUCGCCCCGACGAGGUUUGUUUUUUGUGGUCACACAGACGGAUUGAAGAUGACAAGAGGGCAGAGAUAUUGGCAUUGGAAGCGGAUGAGAGAGAAAAUGAAGCUCAUUGCAAAGGGUGAUGCUGAGACGACAGUUGUCAUUAUAAGGAGCAGAAAGGCGAAGGACCCUGACUUUUUUUGAGUAUGUGCUUGAUAAUGAAGGGUGACUAAAGAUUAUGUUCUGGUGCGAUGCACAGUCACAGAGGGACUAUCACGACUAUGGAGAUGUGGUUGUCUUUGACAACACAUAUAAGAUGAACAGAUAUGGCAAUGCCGUUCAUCCCCUUUGUCGGUGUAAGUAACCACCGUUGCACCAUAGUAUUUGGUUGUGCAAUUGUUUCUGACGAUACUGAAGGGACAUAUGUGUGGUUGCUGCAGACAUUUAUGAGGGCAAACUGUCAGGUGAAGCCAAAGUGAAUAAUCACAGACGGUGACGCUGCAAUGAUUCGAGCGAUAUGGACUGUCCUUUCGGAUUUGUUCCAUCGUAUUUAUUCAUGGUAUAUCUAGAAAAAUAUGCAAAAGCACCUACAUUACAAGUCACUUGAUGAGUUCAGGUCGCUCUUGUACUAUGCCACCUCUCAAGCAAACUUUUAGAGAUGGACUGCUUUCGUCAAUAAAUGGAAGAUGGAUAAAACUGAAGAUUGGCUUAACAGAAUGUAUAGGAAGAGGAGACUUUGGGCAUCUUCAUAUCUUUCAGAUGGGCUUUUUCUUGGUAUGCGAAGUAACCAGAGGAGCGAAAGCCUGAACUCAUGCCUUCACCUUCACCUGGAUUACCAUAUGACAAUAGUUUAUUUAGUAGCGCAUUACGAGAACUGUAUAGUUCACCUUCGUGAGAAUGAGGCGCACGAUGACUGUGAUGCUAACCAGAAAGUACCAUCGCCCGUUACUGAAUAUAAGGCCAUUGAGGAGCAUACUGCUGCUGUAUUCACACCUGCUAAUUUCUACAUCCCGCAACAUGAUUUCGAAAAGAUGGGACAACUGGAGAUAUUUGAGACGCUCGUGGGUAUUGAGCGUCAGACAUUCAUCGUGACAUGGAAGGAUAACCACAAGUUCAGGAAUCUGAAGUGGCUUCGAUCGGGAAGUAGAAAUUUGUUUGCACGAGUCAUAUCGAAAUAAUCUGUGUGAACAUGUGUGCGGUGCCAGAAAACUUUAUAAGUGUUUUGUUUAUGUUUCUUAAAACAUUCUUGUGAACAUCUAUGACGUGUAUUGAAUAUUCUUGUGUUUUGUUUGCGUGAACGAGUUUACAAUUUAAUAUACUAUUUAUUUUGUUA